UGGGGUACAACUACAUGCUACGAUGCUAGCUGUCGAAGAUGAUUCAGGCACACCUGAAAUGAGAACACGUCAGACUCUACCGGAGGCAGCAGUGAGGAUAUGCGCAUGGGGGCUCUGACGCAGCCACGCGCGUGGAGUGAGGAAGGUUUUCGGACCGUAAAGCUCUGUCGAGCGGGAAGAAAAUGCAUGGUGGCUAAUAUCCCAUCAUGCUUGACGGUACCGCUAAAGGAAGCACCGGGCUAACUCCCGUGCCAGCAGCCGCGGUAAUACGGGGGGUGCAAGCGUUGUUCGGAAUUAUUGGGCGUAAAGAGCGUGUAGGCGGCUGAAUAAGUCAGAUGUGAAAUCCCUGGGCUUAACCCAGGACGUGCAUUUGAAACUAUUCAGCUUGAGUAGGGGAGAGGAAAGUGGAAUUCCUGGUGUAGAGGUGAAAUUCGUAGAUAUCAGGAGGAACACCGGUGGCGAAGGCGACUUUCUGGCCCUAUACUGACGCUGAGACGCGAGAGCGUGGGUAGCAAACAGGAUUAGAUACCCUGGUAGUC
rnacentral:rRNA from 1 species